CAAGAAUUUUAUUUUUGUUGUAAUCUCCAACGUUCUUUGAAAACAUGACUGACAACCGUAACAGCUCAUUAAUUACAUAUUUAAUGGUCACACUUGUGUUAAUAUCAAUUUUUAUCACGAUGGUGGUCACUGAAUCCCAAAUUGUACGUUCACCAUCAAGAUGUCCUCCUUGUCAGAGAUUUGCUCACGGGAGGUGUCGCAUGAUCUUGGGAUGCACCAGUCCAAUCGCGUAAGUUGAUCUGAUGACAACAAUCUGGUCACAUCAGUAAUAUGUCGGAAACCAUGGAUUACAAGUCAAUGUUGCAAAUGUAAAAAAAUUAACUACUGCAAAUAUAUGUAUAAUUUUUUAGUUUCAAUUUUUGAAUUCUACAAUGCUUUACAUAUAAAAUAUAAUAUAAAUAUAAAAAGACAAGUAUUCUAAUGUCUUACUUCUCACUAAGUGCUGUAUUUGCUAUUGACAUGGUGAUAUGUGUCUGAAUAUUAUGGCAAUAAAAUAUUACUGUAAAACAUAUCAA